CCUACGGGAGGCAGCAGUGGGGGAUAUUGCACAAUGGGGGAAACCCUGAUGCAGCGACGCCGCGUGUGGGAAGAAGCUCCUCGGCUCGUAAACCACUGUCCUCAGGGAAGAUAAUGACGGUAACCAAGGAGAAAGCUCCGGCUAACUACGUGCCAGCAGCCGCGGUAAUACGUAGGGAGCAAGCGUUGUCCGGAUUUACUGGGUGUAAAGGGUGCGUAGGCGGUCUUGCAAGUCAGACGUGAAAGCCACAGGCGCAACCUGGGGACUGCGGUUGGAACUGUGGGGCUGGAGUGAAGGAGAGGUAGGAGGAAUUCCCGGUGUAGCGGUGAAAUGCGUAGAGAUCGGGAGGAACACCAGUGGCGAAGGCGGCCUACUGGGCUGUAACUGACGCUGAGGCCCGAAAGCAUGGGUAGCAAACAGGAUUAGAUACCCUGGUAGUC
rnacentral:rRNA from 1 species